GAGUCCUUCGGUGAACACCUGGAGACGUUCUUGGUCAGACGACAAGAAGAUGGAAUCGCUUACUGGACUCAUACCUGCACUUCUAUUCCAACAAGCUGUGACACACACUGAGAGGUUAAAGCUGUCAACUUUUCUUUGUAAAUGUUUCUUCCCAAGAAGACAAUUAUUUCACCCGCCAUGAAGGCUUCUGGAAACACAUUCCUCCGAAGCAGCAAAAGCGGUCCUGAGCCAGGGGCCGCCUCUGGCAGCUCCCGAAUCUCUCCCACGCUUCCAUGGCUCUUUGGACCUACACAGCAGCACCUGUCAGUUGGUCUGACAUCAGCUUUGUUUUAGGUCUCUUCGCCAGGUUGUGAGUUCCUGUGGUUCUGUCCACAGAAAGCCCUAAAACGGUACCAUCCCAGCCACAGUGAACUCGCGUCGUGUCCAGAUUCAGUUUCUACACACCAUUCUCCACGGAAAGGAAUCCGAGCUUUUUGGAGAAAUGGAUGACCCCUGUCUGGAAACGGAAAGUCUACGAUGAGCCUAUUUUUGUGCAAGAAAGCAAGGAAGUACUGAAAGACUAAAAUGGGCACGUUCUAAGGACAUAAAAGGCAGCUUAAAAAGGGCCUCAUUGGCCAAAUAUGGGGUAAUUUUAACAUAAAAACAAUGACUGCAAUUGAUUGUAAAACACUGACUAAAUAAAAGCCUAUGAGUCCAUAAUGAUAUUCACAGAGAUUUGCUUGCCACCAUUAGAGGUGAUUAUGACACGCAUCCUUUUCUCUACGAUUUAGUCAUUACACUUGGGACAGUAAUGC